GGCAUAUCAGAGAACAAAAGAGGUCAUGGCCUCAGUCUCUCCAUGAAAAGGAGAGCUCCACUCAUGUUUGCAACAACCUCGUAAUAUGAAAGAUCAACCUAAGGGUGGUCAAGGAUCAGCUUGCUGGUGUCAACCCACAGGUCCAUCUGCUAGACGGGGUGUAUUUGAACUCUUUGAGUGAUGGAAAAAAAAAAAAAAAAAGAAAUAUUUGCUGGCUUAUAUCAAGAAAGCAGCCUAAUAUCUGUUUGGUGGCAGAUGAAAAGCAGACUGUGAUUGUCUCCACUGCAGCUCAGGAUGAAAUCCCAGAGAAGUAACUGCUGGGAAAGUGUCUGGAUGAUGAAUCCACCCACCUGUAUCUGAGUUUUGCCCAAGAGACCACAGGCUGACAGAUGAACUUUUU